rnacentral:rRNA from 1 species
UACGUAGGGUGCAAGCGUUAAUCGGAAUUACUGGGCGUAAAGCGUGCGCAGGCGGUUUUGUAAGUCCGAUGUGAAAUCCCCGGGCUUAACCUGGGAACUGCGUUUGAAACUACAAGGCUAGAGUGUGGCAGAGGGGGGUGGAAUUCCACGUGUAGCAGUGAAAUGCGUAGAGAUGUGGAGGAACACCGAUGGCGAAGGCAGCCCCCUGGGUUAACACUGACGCUCAGGCACGAAAGCGUGGGGAGCAAACAGG